GGUAUCCUACGGGACGCAGCAGUGAGGAAUAUUGGUCAAUGGCCGAGAGGCUGAACCAGCCAAGUCGCGUGAGGGAAGACGGCCCUACGGGUUGUAAACCUCUUUUGUCGGGGAGCAAAGCGAGUCACGUGUGACUCAUUGAGAGUACCCGAAGAAAAAGCAUCGGCUAACUCCGUGCCAGCAGCCGCGGUAAUACGGAGGAUGCGAGCGUUAUCCGGAUUUAUUGGGUUUAAAGGGUGCGCAGGCGGAUGUGCAAGUCAGCGGUCAAAUCGCGGGGCUCAACCUCGCUCCGCCGUUGAAACUGG
rnacentral:rRNA from 1 species